GUUGUAUAGUCAAGUAAUUAAGUGCAUGUGGUGGAUGCUUGGCAGUCAGAGGCGAUGAAAGACGUGAUAGCCUGCGAAAAGCUCCGGGGAGGCGGCAAAUAUCCUUUGAUCCGGAGAUUUCUGAAUGGGGGAACCCACCUACUUUAAGGUAGGUAUUGCAACAUGAAUACAUAGUGUUGCAAGGCGAACGAGGGGAAGUGAAACAUCUCAGUACCCUUAGGAAAAGAAAUCAAUUGAGAUUCCCUCAGUAGCGGCGAGCGAACGGGGAUCAGCCCAUUAAGUUAUGUGUGUUUUAGUGGAACGCUCUGGGAAGUGCGAACGUAGAGGGUGAUAUUCCCGUACACGAAAGGGCACACAUAAUGAUGACGAGUAGGGCGAGGCACGUGAAACCUUGUCUGAAUAUGGGGGGACCAUCCUCCAAGGCUAAAUACUCCUGACUGACCGAUAGUGAACCAGUACCGUGAGGGAAAGGCGAAAGAACCCU
rnacentral:rRNA from 1 species